CACGUAGGGGGCAAGCGUUGUCCGGAUUUAUUGGGCGUAAAGAGCUCGUAGGUGGCUUAGUAAGUCGGGUGUGAAACCUCCAGGCUCAACCUGGAGACGCCACCCGAUACUGCUAUAGCUUGAGUCCGGUAGGGGAGCGUGGAAUUCCUGGUGUAGCGGUGAAAUGCGCAGAUAUCAGGAGGAACACCAGCGGCGAAGGCGGCGCUCUGGGCCGGUACUGACACUGAGGAGCGAAAGCGUGGGGAGCAAACAGA
rnacentral:rRNA from 1 species